rnacentral:tRNA from 1 species
GACUUAAUGGUUUAAUGGUAAAGCGUUUGGCACGGAAUCAAAGAGUCCUGGGUUCGAUCCAUGAUGGAGUCA